rnacentral:rRNA from 1 species
UACGGAGGAUCCAAGCGUUAUCCGGAUUUAUUGGGUUUAAAGGGUGCGUAGGCGGCUUAUUAAGUCAGGGGUGAAAGACGGUGGCUCAACCAUCGCAGUGCCUUUGAUACUGAUGAGCUUGAAUACACUUGAGGUAGGCGGAAUGUGACAAGUAGCGGUGAAAUGCAUAGAUAUGUCACAGAACACCAAUUGCGAAGGCAGCUUACUAAGGUGCAAUUGGCGCUGAGGCACGAAAGCGUGGGGAUCAAACAGG